GAUCCUGGCUCAGGAUGAACGCUAGCGGCAGGCCUAACACAUGCAAGUCGAGGGGCAGCACGUUAAAGAGUUUACUCUUUAUGGUGGCGACCGGCGGACGGGUGCGUAACGCGUAUGCAACCUGCCUGACACAGGGGGAUAAUCCGAAGAAAUUUGGUCUAAUACCCCAUAAUACCGAUAUAGGCAUCUAUGUUGGUUGAAAGCUUUGGUGGUGUCGGAUGGGCAUGCGUUGUAUUAGCUAGUUGG
rnacentral:rRNA from 1 species